CUGUGAGGGAAAGAGACAGAGAUUGGUUUUGGUUUGUAGAAAGCAAAGUUAGUACUGAUUGUGCAGCUGUUAGACAGAGAUAGAGAGAGAAAGAACAAAAUUUGGUUUGCAGAGAGCAAGGCAACAAGGGGCCACUGAUGAGAAUGGAUUGUGAAGCCUGUAGCCCAGAAAGGAUAUGGUUAAGAUCUGUUAAGUAAAGGAAAGCUGGACGCCAGGAUGGAACCUCCGCUAAAGCAUCGUGAAGUCUGCUGGGUAUAAAGAGGAAUCAAACUGGACUGUGUUAUGUGUAGUGAUUCUGUUUUUCUGAGACUGUAAAAUGCAAUUGCUAUAAGUGAUUGUGGUAUAAACUAUGCUAGACUAUGAAAUGUAAGGCAAAGCUUCUUGAUAGGCUAUGAAAACCUGCAGAGUUGCUACAAAAAGUGAUGCAUCUUGCAGAACAUCACCUCCAAGGCCUCACAGGGCAUGUCCAGAUGAACGCGCACGUGCCUCUUGCCCUGUCUCAAACCCCUUUGAGAUGGGGCAAGAGGCACAUGCGGGAAUGAAAAAAUGUUCCCCACACUUCAAAAUUGCAAUGCAGGGAGAAAAUUAGACCCCUGGAUAUCCAGGGGUAAAAAAAAAAAUGGAGUUUAAAAAAGGAGGACAGGCAACUGGAGGCUGGAUCCUCCACAGAGAUGCUCUGGCUGCCAGAGCAUCUCUGUGGUUGGUCCCUCACUCUGGUGCUGAAACACUGUGGCCUGCCAGGCAGCUGCUGCAGCACCAGGGCUCCAGUGCCAUAAGUAAGGGGUUGUGGGGGGCUGGAGGAGAGGGGAGGGGACUACAGGACUACUGGCUGCAGAUCCAGGAGGAGCCAGGCAGGGUUACUUAGCUCCAAGUGGCACAGUUUGCUCCAUAACAAAGAGCAUGUCCAAGCACACGCACUGAGGCAAAAAGCCCCGGUUCAAAUUUGCAUUGCUUCUUUUUGAGCUGCUACAAACACACAUGCUUGUGUGUGUGGAUGCGCCCACAGAGUUCAGCCAUGCCAAAGAUCAAGAAGGCUGGAUAGAUUGUUUGUUUUAUUGCUAUCUUUUUUUUUUUCUUUGUCCUUCUGGUUUUUUUGUGCUAAAUAUGCAUUUUAGCCUAUAUAGUAGAAGUAGUAAUGUAACAUAGUUUGUUCAAUUCCCUGAAUUUGUACAAAGAGAACACAAAGUAAAAUUAUGGGAUCCUAAGGAAAACAAGUCUGGUCCUUCCUGUGGAUACAGCACACCUGGUUUUCAUGGCGGGUUGAGAAAGACUUAACCCCUGGCAUUUCUCCAGUCUUUUACAGGACAGUGAGGCACUGAUAGUGCUAAAGUGGCAUCAAGCGUCCAGUUGAGGCAACAAGAAAGCAUUGCCCAGUACACAGGAGGGGUAAAUUUGCCAAGGACAUGUCUGGUCUCCAGAGAUUCUGACCAUGAAAUGUUUUUUUUUUUCUGAUAUGAAUAUCCAUCUUGACAAUCAGAUAAGAUACUGACUGUGGAGCAACAUGCUACCUGAAAUGUUCAGUAAAAGGUUUGGUAGGCAACUCGGUUACAUUUCCUGGCCCCAGUAUGGGAGGCCUGCUGAAACCCAGUUGGCUAAAGCUCAGUUGCCUGGCUAGGGAAUGCUGAGUCAAGAGACAGGUUCAGAGUGGGUAUGGGUGAUAUUUGAAUAAUGGUUAAGGUUUCAUCACAGCAUCCAUCCUGCUGGAGUCUGUGACCACAAAUACCAUCAUACUUUUCCCAGGAUGACUGGUGGAAGUCCUCCCCACAAAUGUCAUGAACAUUUCAGGCAAUGUCAGUGAUUAUGCUCCAGUAUAGUGUAAAGAUAUAUCUUCAAGGAUGGGAAUAUGUUGGCUUACAAAUGGCAUUUAACAACCUGUUUUUUGGGAAUUGGCUUAUAGCCUUAUAAGGGGUCAAGAUGGGCAGCAGGUGUUAAAACGAUUUAUAAAGAGCUUGGGAGACAACACACAGCUUCUCAUGGCCCUGAAAGCAGACAGGUUAUCUAUCACAACAAGGCCAAUGGAUGGACACAGCCUGAGAAUGAAGGAGGGCAUGCCAUAACAUGAGAUCACAGCCUCCAAGGCAGACGUGUUGUCUAACACAGCAAGGACACGCAGCCUAGGAACCAAAGAAGUGUGUACCAUAUUGUCCCAUAACACAUGAUAAGUGAAACCAGCAACAGGGCCCCAGAGCAGCAGUGGGGCUGAGUCCUGGUUUUGAGGGAACACACCAAAUUAGGAGAAGGCCCGGAAGGCUAUGUGGAUGUGUGACCACAGAGAGAGAGCCAACCUACCAGAGAUAGCCAUUGAUGAAGAGUCAUCAGGAGUCAUCAUGGGGGUAGGAUAAUACAAAAGCAGAGACUUGAGAUUAACAAAGAGUCCCUCCUGUUUCUCCCUGUACUUUUUCAUCCCUCACUGUCUCUCUUUGCUGUCCCUCCUCCUUCUUCUCCUGAGAGGGGUCCCCAACCCCAUCCCUGUCCCCUGGGAAGGGUCCCUGAGGCCAACAUGGAUUGAGGGCAUACCAGCAGCCUGUCUCAUUCACCCCACUGGAGGGGGGCUGUGGGCCUCGGUAUCCCACCUCCAGACUGAUGACACCUUAGAGAGCCUAAGAGUGGAGCCUGCAUCCUGGCCAGAUGUACUUUGACUCUGAUGACAACCCUAGGAUUGGUAGAUAUAGCAUUGCUUGAUUAUUCGUAUUGUUGCUUUUUUGUUCUUUCUCUGUAUCAAUAAAUUUACCUAUUCUUAA